rnacentral:rRNA from 1 species
UACAGAGGGUGCAAGCGUUGUUCGGAAUUAUUGGGCGUAAAGCGCGUGUAGGCGGCUUUGCAAGUCGGGUGUGAAAGCCCUCAGCUUAACUGAGGAAGUGCGCCCGAAACUACAUUGCUUGAGUACCGGAGAGGGUGGCGGAAUUCCCCAAGUAGAGGUGAAAUUCGUAGAUAUGGGGAGGAACACCGGUGGCGAAGGCGGCCACCUGGACGGUCACUGACGCUGAGACGCGAAAGCAUGGGGAGCAAACAGG